rnacentral:misc_RNA from 1 species
ACGAGUUUGAACGGGUUGUAGCUGGCCUUCCGAGGCAUGUGCACGCCCUGCUCAUCCACUCUACACCUGUGCACUUACUGUGGGUCUCUGGUGGUCGUGCGGGCUUACGCUCGUUCGGUCGUCUGGGCCUACGUUAUUACAAACGCUUUAGUAUCAGAAUGUAAACCGCGAUAUAACGCAUCAUAUA